rnacentral:rRNA from 1 species
AAUGCGUAGAUAUCGGGAGGAACACCAGUGGCGAAGUCGGCCUCCUGGGCUGUUUCUGACGCUGAUAGGCGAAAGCUAGGGGAGCGAACGGGAUUAGAAACCCCGGUAGUCCUAGCCGUAAACGAUGGAUGCUGGGUGUGGGGGGUAUAGAUCCCCUCCGUGCCGAAGCUAACGCGUUAAGCAUCCCGCCCGGGGAUUACGGCCGCAAGGCUUAAACUCAAACGAAUUGACGGGGGCCCGCACAAGCAGCGGAGCGUGUGGUUUAAUUCGAUGCUACACGAAGAACCUUACAUGGGCUUGACAUGUAGGUAGUAGUGAAGCGAAAGCGGAACGACCAUUCGGGGAGCUUACACAGGUGUUGUAUGACUGUCGUCAGUUCGUGCCGUGAGGUGUCGGGUUAAGUCCGAGUAACGAACGCUUACCUUUGCCACUUAGUUACAUGUGUCUAAGGGGAUCUGCCCCGGGACAAAUGGGAGGAAGGUGGGGAUGACGUCAAGUUAGCAUGGCCGUUACGAUCCAGGGCUACACACACGGUACUAUGACAGGUACAAUGGGUCGUCAAGCCGUGAGGCCGGAGCCAAUCCCCCAUAAGCCGGUGUAAGUUAGGAUUGUGGCAGUGCAACUCGACGCCAUACGUACGUUGGAGUUGUUAGUAAGCUGACGUAGUCAGUCAAUAUGUUCGGUGUAUACGUUUCUGGGCGUUGUACACACCACCCGUUACGUCAUGGUAGCCUGGCAACACUCGUGAAGCCAGUGAGGUCAUCCGCGAAGGGGGUCACCUGUCGAAGUGGGCCGUGUGCACUGGGUACGAAGUCGUAACUCAGUCACUAAAGGG